rnacentral:rRNA from 1 species
UACGUAGGGUGCAGGCGUUAAUCGGAAUUACUGGGCGUAAAGCGUGCGCAGGCGGUUUGCUAAGACAGGUGUGAAAUCCCCGGGCUUAACCUGGGAACUGCGCUUGUAACUGGCAAGCUUGAGUGUGGCAGAGGGGGGUGGAAUUCCCGGUGUAGCAGUGAAAUGCGCAGAGAUCGGGAGGAACACCGGUGGCGAAGGCGGGUCUCUGGGCCGUAACUGACGCUGAGGAGCGAAAGCGUGGGGAGCGAACAGG